rnacentral:rRNA from 1 species
UGGGGAAUAUUGCACAAUGGGGGAAACCCUGAUGCAGCGACGCCGCGUGAGCGAAGAAGGUUUUCGAAUCGUAAAGCUCUGUCCUAUGGGAAGAUAAUGACGGUACCAUAGGAGGAAGCCCCGGCUAACUACGUGCCAGCAGCCGCGGUAAUACGUAGGGGGCAAGCGUUGUCCGGAAUCACUGGGCGUAAAGGGUUCGCAGGCGGAAAUGCAAGUCAGUUGUGAAAGGCAGAGGCUCAACCUCUGUAAGCAAUUGAAACUGUAUUUCUUGAGAUGUGGAGAGGCAAGUGGACUUCCUAGUGUAGCGGUGAAAUGCGUAGAUAUUAGGAAGAAUACCGGUGGGGAAGGCGACUUGCUGGACACAAACUGACGCUGAGGAACGAAAGCGUGGGUAGCAAACAUG